rnacentral:rRNA from 1 species
UGGGGAAUCUUGCGCAAUGGACGAAAGUCUGACGCAGCGACGCCGCGUGGGUGAUGAAGGCCUUCGGGUUGUAAAGCCCUGUGGGGAGAGACGAAUAAGUGUAGCCUAAUACGUUGCAUGAUGACGGUAUCUCCUUAGCAAGCACCGGCUAACUCUGUGCCAGCAGCCGCGGUAAGACAGAGGGUGCAAACGUUGUUCGGAAUUACUGGGCGUAAAGCGUGUGUAGGCGGCCAAGCAAGUCGGAUGUGAAAGCCCCAGGCUCAACCUGGGAAGUGCACCCGAUACUGCCUGGCUUGAGUAUCGGAGAGGUUGGUGGAAUUCUCGGUGUAGAGGUGAAAUUCGUAGAUAUCGAGAGGAACACCGGUGGCGAAGGCGGCCAACUGGACGAAUACUGACGCUGAGACACGAAAGCGUGGGGAGCAAACA